UACGGAGGGUGCAAGCGUUAUCCGGAUUCACUGGGUUUACAGGGUGUGUAGGUGGGUUGGUAAGUCAGUGGUGAAAUCUCCGGGCUUAACCCGGAAACUGCCAUUGAUACUAUCAGUCUUGAAUACCGUGGAGGUUAGCGGAAUAUGUCAUGUAGAGGUGAAAUGCUUAGAUAUGACAUAGAACACCAAGUGCGAAGGCAGCUGGCUAGAUGAAUAUUGACACUGAUGCACGAAAGCGUGGGGAUCAAACAGG
rnacentral:rRNA from 1 species